rnacentral:rRNA from 1 species
GAGUUUGAUCAUGGCUCAGAACGAACGCUGGCGGCAGGCUUAACACAUGCAAGUCGAACGCCCCGCAAGGGGAGUGGCAGACGGGUGAGUAACGCGUGGGAACGUACCUUUCGCUUCGGAAUAGUCCCGGGAAACUGGGUUUAAUACCGAAUACGCCGUAUUGGGAAAGAUUUAUCGGCGAAAGAUCGGCCCGCGUUAGAUUAGGUAGUUGGCGGUGUAAUGGACCACCAAGCCUACGAUCUAUAGCUGGUCUGAGAGGAUGAUCAGCCACACUGGGACUGAGACACGGCCCAGACUCCUACGGGAGGCAGCAGUGGGGAAUCUUGGACAAUGGGCGAAAGCCUGAUCCAGCCAUGCCGCGUGUGUGAAGAAGGUCUUCGGAUUGUAAAGCACUUUAAGUUGGAGGAAGGGCAGUAAGUUAAUACCUUGCUGUUUUGACGUUACCAACAGAAUAAGCACCGGCUAACUUCGUGCCAGCAGCCGCCGCAGU